GUGAAUCAUCGAAUUUUUGAACGCAAAUUGCACUUUCUGGUUUUCCGGAAAAUAUUCCUGUUUGAGGGUCAGUUAUAUAAAAAUCCGUGUCGUUUCUUCUUUUCGUGGUGACGCGUCGGAAUUGAGUUGUCUUACCUUCGGUUAAGUGACUUAUAAUUUUUCAUUAUUUUCGUACUUAUUUAAAUUUCUUACUUACUUUUGUGAUAUCGAGUACUUUAUUAUGUUCUUUCAUCCUCAUGAUUUACACCUAUAAUUUUUCAUUAUAUGUCCUCAA
rnacentral:misc_RNA from 1 species